UCACUUUCAACAACGGAUCUCUUGGCUCUCGCAUCGAUGAAGAACGUAGCGAAGUGCGAUAAGUAGUGUGAAUUGCAGAAUUCCGUGAAUCAUCGAAUCUUUGAACGCAAAUUGCACUCUCUGGCAACCCGGGGAGUAUGCCUGUUUGAGGGUCAGU
rnacentral:rRNA from 2 species